AUGCAAUGGCAGUGGGACAAACAUCAAUCACGGGACAAAAAUUCACAACGUAUUUUUAUGUUGCCUCGUCCCCUUUCUGAAACAAUAUUAUGUGAGGUUAAUCAUGGCUGGUAUUUCGACACUCUCAAACUAUUUGCGAUUCAGGCUGUACAAUUUGCAACAGAGAUUCAUUACUCAGAUUCCGGUCUAUUUGGUAGUGUAUCAUUCGCCUUUGGGCAUAAACAAAUGUUUUGCUGGACUCCAGAUACAUCAGCUAGUGGCGACCACCUUGAGCAAUUGUGGGAUCCAGGAGGCCUUGCAAGCUAUAUAUGCAGUACAUGUGCAUUGACUUCCCUGAUGCAUUACUUGUUUGCAGUCUGGCUUGCAUAUGCGACUCCUAUAUGCAUCCAGUUGGGAAUGGAGAAGCCAAUGGCCAGCGGCGAAAUAAAUCAGGGGAUGACCAUCCAUUUCUUUCCUGGAACAUUGGAGCUUGAAUGCAGACUUGACUAG
rnacentral:rRNA from 1 species